rnacentral:rRNA from 1 species
UACGUAGGGUGCAAGCGUUUAAUCGGAAUUACUGGGCGUAAAGCGUGCGCAGGCGGUUGUGCAAGACCGAUGUGAAAUCCCCGGGCUUAACCUGGGAAUGGCAUUGGUGACUGCACGGCUAGAGUGUGUCAGAGGGGGGUAGAAUUCCACGUGUAGCAGUGAAAUGCGUAGAGAUGUGGAGGAAUACCGAUGGCGAAGGCAGCCCCCUGGGAUAACACUGACGCUCAUGCACGAAAGCGUGGGGAGCAAGCAGG